CCUAAUAUCAGACAAAAAACUAAGAAAACAACAUGAAUAUAAAUAUGUAUAAACUUAAGUCUGCAAACAUUACAGUAUGCGGAAUAAAUAAUACAAUAAUGUUCUAAUGCACAUUAAAACAACAUAGUUUUUGUCUCUAUCGAUAAGUAAAUGGACAUCCACGAUCACCCAAACCUGUAAAUGAAUGGCACGGAGAGCUCAAACCCAUGCAUUCCAUUGUACUAUAGUUCAACAAAAUAUCAAAACUUCAACAACAUAAGCAAAGCAACAGAAAAUUCAUUUACAGAUUCUAACUGAGUGUGUACCUGGCAUAAAUAUCUGCCACAUCAAAUAAUCCUUGGCUCUAUACACUGCGCAGGGAGAAUCAUCCUCCAUGUCCAGACAAAACCAGGCAUGCCCCUUCGCCAGCAGUACUCCUGUAAUAUAGAGCUUCUCACAGGACAACUGUCUGGCCUUGAAUGGAGGUCCUCUUAUCAAUGACUUCAACAUUAACUCUGGGCAUUUCUGACCCAGUAGCUUACAGGCUCCAUAAUCACUGGCAAGAGACAUCCAAAGGGAUCGCAUUGUCUCGAGUUUACCGCAUUGGCCAAGAGAGCCUUGUCGCCAAAGGGGCAGUCCCUAUCUCUAGCUUCUAAGAUUACACACCCGGACAGCUAUAAUGGAGACCCAAAUCGCUCUCUCCGGCAAAGGCAACAGAUAGCAUCUCCAGCGUCUUCGCAUGAGUCCAAUAUACUCAAAACACGAUCAGUUAGAAGGCCGAAAGGAAAGCGCUGAAGAUCCUUACAAUGCUCUACAAUACUCCAAAACCAGAAUCCAGUGGUUGAAGGUAAGAUAGUCAGGAGUUCAGGCUCCAGAAUACACAGGCGAAGCGAGUCAAUUAGGCCUAUUCUGCCAAUAGUAUUUAGAGCGCGUAGACAUUUGACGACAAAAAUAUAGAAUGGACUGGAGCUUUGGCAGCCUUUGAUACAGAAGCAAGACCCUGUUCUGUCAAUGCAAUAUUUGGUUCUAACCAAUGAUCAGAAGGAAACACCCUCAACUCCUGUAGAUAUUGCAGACAGCAACGACAUCAAGACCAGCAUCUCUGUAAUCAAGCACCUGUAUCAGCGGACUUAAUUAGCACACAAACUACAAAUGAUUUAAGUAUUGAACUGAGAUACACAAAACAUGGAACAGGCAAUACAUCGAAAAACAUCAUAUAAAUCCAACAUACCAAAACCGCAACAAAUUGGGGCAUGACCACAAGCUUGAUAAGAUCAGAGCUUUGAAUGACAGCAUAACUCAGGUUUAGUGAUGUAGCCUAGAGCAGACCGGAUUUAGUCCGGAAGGUAGGAUGGCAGAACUUGCCAAAAACCAGACAAGCUCUUCAAUGCUUGCACCCAGAAAUGCUGUUACAAGUUUAGAAGACCUCUGGGCGCAUCUCAGCUGAGUAGAUCCUGUGCCUAACUCAGCCAGCGAGGACAUCGGCCUAAGUAAGUUCGGCAGUUAUCAAGGCUGCAGCAUGAUUGAGACGAAGAGUCUGGAGGUUAGGACACCUACCAAGCAGCGCUCUAGUGCGGACAAACUCACCUCAUUGUUCAAGCAAGAAUGUUAAGUAAACUAAGAUGUGUAGAAUCAGAAUGCUAGCAAUGCCCACUAGGUCUCCAUUCACUCUCCUGCAAGUUCAAUUCCUUCAAAUCCUACAAUCAUAGGGACACAGUCUUAUCAAUGACACUUCAGAAACCACUAUCUUCUAUGAUUAUAAGAAGCAACGAUGUAUAACUGAAUCACACGAACCAAUUUAACAUCUAUAGCAACUGUCAAACUCAGUAUUAUCAAGAUAUAUCCAUUAGCAAAAGUUUUAAAAAGCAUACUUCUGAUUAAAACCUCACUGAACAUGAAAUAUUCUAUAUUUACAAACUGUAAGAGAUUUAAGUGAAUAUAUUUCUUUAACCAUAAAAAAGUGAAUCAAAAUAAAAAAUGGAAUAAAUCAGCAUUACUAAGCAAAAAUUGAAAGAGCCAACCAUGUCAUAAAUUACUUAAGUUAUAAACUAGUCCUUUAAAUAAAUAAAAGAAGUAUUUAUUCCCUCCAUCAAAAAAUUUAUACACAGUGGACUUUAAUCGUCCUUGCUAUAUCAUUUAAACAGCAUAAACCUUGAAAUGUGGAUCAUAAUUUGACAAAAUUACUAAUAAUUGAUUUGUUCAAUUUAAGGGAGUAUAUCCUAAUACACAAAUUUAAUGACCUAAUUGACGGCCUUUACAAUUUAUUACUAGCAACCAAAUAAUAUCAUGUUUUAAAAUCAAGUAUAAUCCUUAUCACAGAAAACUGCUUCCUAAAUGAGGUGUUUCUUUUAAAAACUUUCAGUCUUAUCUCUUUGUUUCCCAAUAAUCAAUUUGAACCAAACCAACAUACCCCAAUACGAAAAAGAAGAAAAAAAGCUAUCAUUGAUCCGUGCGGGAGGAAAAAUAAUGUGUCAUGACUCGUGAAGGCUUAAUAGAAGGAAAGGGGAUCUACAUGAAAAAGAAUAAAUAUAAAUAGUAAAAAUAAUACAUUUCAAUAUUACGAAUCCAUAAAAUAAAAUAAAACAUCCAAAAUUCACUGUACGAAAAAAAUCCAAAAUAUAUGGGAAAAAUCAUUUUUUACUGUAUAGUAUUCAAAGAAAUAUACAUGAAUCAAAUCUGACCAAUGACCACAAAAGUUCAGUAAGUUAAAACUCACAUGGCUAAAGACGAUAGUACCUUCAUCAUAAUUGCUAAUAGAACACUAAAGCAAAAGCACAAAGCAAAGAUCCAAACUGAGAUUGUUCAAUCAAUCAUAUCACAUUCACUUCAGUCACAUCAACGAAACAUAGAAUAACCAAAUGAGAAGAAUUGGAAGUAAAAAAACCUGCAUUAGAAGCAAUGGCGGCAAGGUCCUUCCGUAGCUAAACCCUCACACGAAUAGAACCAAAAUUUAAAAUUCUUAAACGAUUAGCAAUAAGCUCAAGUUCAUCCGUAUAACCAUCCUCUUAGCCGAAUCUCUUCGAGAACGGGCAAACCACAGCAGCCCGCCGGACUAACGAAACCUCCCCAACCUCAGGCACCAAAUUGAAGUCCGCAAAGUGGCGGUUCCCUUCAACGAAAUGGAUCUCAACUCCGGGAACCUUUCGUCACCGUACAGACUAACAGCGUAGCAGUUUCCGCACAAAUCUGCUCCUGCACCAACCGUUCGUUCUCGUACACGACUUACACACUAGAGAAUGAGUUUCGGUCUUUGUCACAUUGAAUGAACAGAACACUACUCGAGAACUUCUCAGGAAUGUUCGUCAUUUUCUGCAUGUGUAGAACGAAACGCGUGUUAGCUGGUCAGAACUUGGAAAUGAAGCUGUGAGAACGAAGGUGCAGUUAUGAAGUUUAGAUCUGAACACCAUUAACGAGCUUAAAGUGUUGUGUUAAUGUCUGUGAGAAAGAGAAAGAUAGAUAGUUUAUGUUGAGUUUGAGUGAGGUUAGAAAUUAACUAUGGUAAAUAAGUGAUGAUAUGAUCUUGAUGUGUGAGUUUAUUCGAGAGGUUAUUGCAAUAUAUAAGGAGAACUGUUGAGAAGUUAAUGUGACCGUUGAUGAGGUAAGAAUUGAUUUAUCCGUUGAGGGAGAUCGAGAUAGCCGCAAAAACGGUGUGUGGAAACGUGGUACUAAAGGCGACGCUAUUUUCAGUUCUCCAGAGUUGUUGAAACGAGAAAAACCGACAUGGUUUCUUCUGUGAAUAAUGAAUAUAUCUCUCCAUUUCAAAAAAAGGAAAAAAUGAGAUUUUUUAAGUUAACAAAUUAAAAUAGGGAUCUUAUGUUGUGCAAUCCAUUCUAUUUUAUUAAAAAAAAAAGAAAUUGAUUUAAAAAAAAAUUGUAAAAAAAUGUAAUGCAAUUAUAUCACUCCAUUAUAAAAUAAUACGCUUCAUGUCUGCUUACUUAGUAUAAAGUAAUAAUUGAUAGUUGUUAUCAUUAACUCUUGAUCAAAACAUGCAAAUAUUGAAUUCUAUUAACUAAAAUAUAAAGCAGUAGAUUCAUACUUGCUUAUGCAAUGAUCAAUAGCAUUUCAAGUUUUAAAACUCCAAAGCAGUCAGUGUGCCGAAAAAAAUCAUACUUAUAUUAUUUAGCAUGCUUGUUCAGGAAGAAUGUCCAACUGCCUGCUUUAAAAAUUAACAUCACUUAAAAAGAAAGAGAGAAUUAUAAGACUUUAGAUUAAUAUCCAGUUAAAACUGAUAGUAGGGUGUACAGUAAGAGUAGAGAUGUAUUGAAAAAAAUAAGAUAAAAAAUUAAAUAAAUUUGUAUAUUGAAACAAUGAUUAUAUGGAAAUAUAAGUUAUAAUUCAUAUUGUUAGAAAAGUAGAGGUGAGCAUAAAAGUGAGAGGAGGUCAACACCUAUCACUUAGGUGGUGAAUAUUCGGGUGCCUCUGCACACUUUUGUUACUUUUGAUGCAUAGGAUUUCACCUGAAUCCAAUAGUGGAUCAGAGCCUAGCGACGUAAGGGAUUCGGCUCCUUAUGUCAGAAAGUCUUUGAAAAGGUGGUCCAGCACAGUUCUACUGGAAGUACUAUGACGAGUGAGGGUGUUGGCCACAACGUACCAAGCAUUCCGAUGAUAGAGCUUCCGACUUGAGGGAAGCAUAAUGGAUGACCCAAUUUGAAGGGAGAUUGUUGGAAUAAGUGUGAGUUGUGUGAGAACAAAUGAAGUUUUAAGUCUUCACAUUGUUUUGAAAAGUGAAGGUGAGUACUUAUAAGCUGAGAUGAUCCAUCCAGCUCCAUAUAUCAUUCAGGUGAUGAUGCUCGUGUCUCUGCUUCACUUGUGAUGCUUGCUCUUGAUCCAAUGUGGUCCUCAUGGUACCCAACACGACAAAGGUACGCGAACAUAAACCAAAAAAACACUAAACGAAGAGCGUAACUUACCCCCAAUCCUCGAUAACACCAAUAGCUAAUCAUCAUGUGCAUCCUUAUAAAUGGAUCCUGUACCAAACGGCAACAUAGAAUCAUAAGCAAAAAAGCAGAGGGACAUACAUCAUAAUUCCGCUAUGCAAUAAACUAGCAAUCUUCAAUUCACGAUAUCAAACUAAUUCUCAUCAACCAAUAUACAACCUCUGCAUAAUGCAGUGUAUUUUCUACUAGUCUCAUGCCAUGUAGGUACCAUGUACAACUUGACCAAAAGUCCCUACAACUGAUACAGAAUAGGUUACCCAGGGGAUUAUCCACUGAGCCGAAGUCUCUAAACUGGACAAAAUCAAAGUUAUUCUUCAUAUCACAUUUAACAGCAACACAUCAAACAAAUCACACAAUCACACGCGAACUCUCUACUCCAUAAAUAUCAAAACACUAAGUCACAACUGAAAUCAUUAACACUGGACUGAAGCCACAACAAUGGUUCCUCGAACCAACACACAACACUGCUCAAUAUUUUUCAUCAACAUCAACACAUCACACACAACUUAUGUCACAUCAAUACUUAUAAAGCGAACUUCAUAAUACUGCUCAAAUUAUAGUUCUAUUAAUCCAUAUCAUACAUACUCGACUAAUUAUUUAAAUCUAAACCAGCACGAGCAGCUCACACUCAUUCUAGAAUUCUCAGAGAUACUAUUUAAGAUAUAUUUUUAUCUCUACAGCACUAACACCAAUCUGUUAUUCUUAAUUCAAACAUUCAAGAAACGGCGUACGGAAUUCGGCCACAACAGUUUUGCACUGACUUCAAAAUAGCGCAUCCAAGACGUAUAUAUAUUAUAAAUGAAUUUUCCAAUUGAAAAUAAAAUUAAACCCCUUUUCAAUGCACUUGAACACACGUCAAAACAAUUAGAAACCUAGUUUAUUGUUCCCUUCACACCUCUAUCGCAAAUAUUUCCGUUAACUCUAAAACAGAAUUUCCUAAUUAUAAACUGAAUUAGAUAAACCAUGAACUUCCAAUCGAAAGAUAUCAUUAAAUUAUACUCUCUCAACGAACUGAACUCCAAACACACCACGGAUGCUCAGAUAAGACGAUAAUCCUUUUAGGUCCUACUCAUUUAGUUUUACUACAACAGAUGAACACUAUCAUACAGGCUUUUGAGUUCUCCACCCCAAAAACACACCCACGGAACACACUACUCUUUGUACAUAAACAACUCAUAACUAUCAAAUCCUACUACAAGCCCGAAAAGUUGAUAAAUAAACCUCUCACUAAGAAUUGCCUACUCUAAAAAUAUAUUAACAUCAAAAUCAACUAUAAGUCAGUAUAACCUUCACUUCAACUAAUUAUUGCAAAGACUCUAAAACAAUCAAAAACAUAACUUAAACCCUCAAACUAAUACAACAAUUUAGUGUCACAUUCAAAACCACUCAUCCCGUUAUACCAACACCCGGUACAUACCAAGUAUAACUCCAAAGGUCACCAUCGUGACAAUUAUAAGCAAUUUUCCUAAAGAUGCAACGAGUCUCAUUCCAUAACCCUCGCCUUAACCACAUUCCACUCAUCCGUGCACAACGGCCUUCUCCAAACUCCUCGUUUAAACCUACUAAUAUAUGCUCAAUAAUAAUAAUAACUCUCCUCACUACAACAAUUAACACAAAAUAAAACAUCAGUUCACAUUAAGACAUACUGACAAUUAAUUUACCCACAGUAAUCCAUAUUCAGGUUCCAUGCAAUCCAAGCGCGUUAUAAUCAGGACAUCAAAACUCAUACAUAUCACAUGAUGAAUACGAAAUCAACCUGAACUACACACAAAAAUAAUAUCUAUCACCACGUAAGAGCUUCCCAACCAUCUCAAGUCCAAAAUUUCAUGAAUGGAACACAAGAAAAAAAACGGAAAAAGAGGAAACAUAAUCCUCUACUAUCCUCGCCUUAAACAUCAUAGUAUGAAAACUUCGCUCCCUCCCCUUCUCGACUUCGAGAAAGGUUACUAUGAAUUUUCUCUUAUUGCUUUCAAAACUCUUAGGAUUGCCCCUUUCCUCCUAAGCUUUCUCCCAAACACGUCCAUGACACUCUCUCCUUUUUUCAUCAUUAAAUAAACUUAAUCAUUUUUUUUAUUAACGAUACCUAAUUUCAAUUCUUAACUUAAUUCUACACUCCCUAUAUAAUUAACAUCUUCUCUACUCUCUCUUCCUUAUUAUUUAAUAUAAAAUAUUAACUAACAACUCUGUAUAUUAAACUAUUCUCGCUUCAAAUACACUAAUUUAAAAUUCUACCCUCCAUAUAGUAAUUGAAAUAACUUAAAUAAUCCAAAGCCUCUCAAAAAUCAAUUAAAGUAAAUAUCAAUAAUCGUUGGUUACAUAUGGAUCAAAUUACCUCAUAACGGGUGGAAUUGAAUGAAGAAAUUUCUGUAUCAAAGUGAAUAUGAACGGUCUUAUAUAGUAUAUAAUAUACAUGCCGACUGUUAUGACAUCGCAAGGAAUGCACUUCAAGCAGUCGGAGAAAGAAAAAAAAACGAUUAAAUUAACAAAGCGAUAAACUUAACUACUCUCUUUGUAUAUCAAUACAAUAUUUAUCACUGAAUUGUGCUUAAUAUAUUAACCAGAUAAGGGAGCAGACAUGGAAGAUUGUUAGGUCUUCAAAAAAAUAGGAACUACGUGAAUAAUUAAAGCUAUUUUCAGGUAAACAUAUAUGCCGCAAUUUCUAUUUUAGUGAAAAAAUGUCAUGCCAUAAUCAGACCAGCAAUAAAAGUUAAUUAACUAUUAUUGAUCUUGGAUACUAACAAGUGACUGGGACAUAUUCUUUCUAUGUCCAACCCCUAAUUAUCCAAUUACCCAAAAGGCCAUAACUAGUGAACCUAAUUUUACCCCUAUGCACACACAGAAACCAAAAUAAACUUUACAUGGAACACAAUGCUAAUGAUAUUGAAGUUGCAUUGGAAUUAAAUAAUGGAUUAAUUGUGAGACUAUAUCACAAAUCUGCAUAGUAUGUGUAGUGGGAUGAAUAAACUAAAAAUUCAUGCUGAACAGUAAUUCCAUCUCAUACACAGAGCUGAUAAACAUCCAAGAACCACCUCUAUACAAUGCAUAUAGCCGUUGUUCUGUCCUCUCCAAAUAUGAUUUUUGAUUGGCUUAUCAACUUAGAAAUCAUGCUCUGGAAUAUUCAUAGGAGCUUUAGUAGAACACUAACGGCAUGUCAGAUCUUAUAUAAACAUCCCCAUUUGUGUUUGUGUGAUGACUCUCAUGUGCAUUUGCUAGGGCUUAAGUUUAGCAUUUUGUUCCUAUUAUAAUUUGUGAAAUUCAGAGCUAGAUGCACCGGUGUAUCUUGCACUUUUAUGUUGAAACACAAAUCACGUCUUUAAGAUAGAUGUCUGAUCAAACUUUACUUUCUUUAUAAGCGAAGCAUUGGUUAUAUAUAUAUUAACUGAAUAUCAUAUCUUAAAACUACCAACUUCUUUGUUUUACCUCUCCCAAGAAAUAUUGUUGGCUUGUCUUGCUUAUAGUUGGUAUCUAAAUGAUUAGUGGUUUUUCUCUGAUAGAUUGUGGCAAUACUCUACGCCAGACUCGCUUAAAUGAUAUUUUAAUUCAGUGAAAACCACUCUCUGUUGGCAAUGAACCAUCUCGCACUCUCAGAGAUUUCCAAAGCCAUGCAAUUGCGAAUAUUCAUUUUCCACUCCAUAAUUUGUAUGAGACAUUGAUAUUAUAUGGAUAAUUUAAUGCGUCCCGCCACAAUCACGGUUAUUUCAUUUGUGUGAUAUUUGGAGGAAUCUAAUUCAGUAACAAAACUCCUUCCAAAACACACUCACUUCUCGGUGAAUCUAGAAAUAUUUUACACUCUACCAAACAAGCUUUUGUGGUUUUUUAAUAUAUCAACUCGUAAUUUAUGCUUUGAAGUUCUCUACGAGAAUUGAAAAGGUCAAGUAGAUGAUGUUUCAUUAUAAUUCAGAUCGUCUAGUUGUGGUUUUAAAACUCUUUGGAUUGUAUACAUGUUUCAUCAGAAGUUGUUAUGUUAGCUUUCAAGCAUUUUCAUAGUUUUUUAUGCUUUUGGAAUCAUGGUUAAAAACUCGAUUUGCGAGAGAUCCGUCUCUCAAAAACCCAGAAGUUUAUUCAGAGAAUGAGUCAUAUACUCAAUUCUUUAUGCAUCUAUGUGGCUUAUAUUCAAAUCUCCCUUAUUUAAUUCGCUCUUCGGUUAAUUGUUUUAUUUUGUUUGGAGUAAUUAUUGAGAGAUGAUCAUGGUAUGGGACAUGAAUCAUUUUAUGAAAUACAUGAGUAUUCUUUAUUUUCCGCUGCGAACGCAUAUUGCUUGAAUAUUCAUGUUGAACGAAAUGUGUUAUUUUGAAUGACCAGGUGUAUUGUUGGUUUUUGAAAAUUUUAAGUUUCGAAAACGUCGAUGUGACGCCCUUUUCUUUGUAUGCGUGCUUAUUUACUCUGAUUAUAUGCUAAAUAAUUUGAGAUAGAAAAAGGGGUGCUACAACCUGCCAUAGCCAAUCCAAUUGGCGCCUCCAUUCAAGAAAAAUUUGAUAUCAAAAAUUUCAUAAAAUACAAAAUUUAUGCAAUUUUAUCAAAUGUUUUAAAAAUUGUUAUGAGUUUUUUUCAAAAAUCUAAUAUUUUGUUACAUUUUACAGCAUGUUUUCGAAAAAUCCAAUAUCUUAUAAAAAUUUGUUUCAUUUUUAUGGUAUAUUAUAAAAAAAUCAAGUACAUAUAUACCGCAUUUUUGAAUAAAAAAAUAGGUAGUUUUGGGAACCUAUAACUACUAAAUAUUUAGAAAAAUCAGGUAUACAUUAAAAACUUCUGAAUAUUUAAAAACUUUGUAUCUCGAAUCUUUUGUGUAAUAUAAAAUACUUGAUAAUGCAAAAUGUUUCAUUUGUGCGGACCAUAUCCUGAUGCUUCUCCAUUAGAUUUUACAUAAUUUUUCAGCACCAACGAUUAUGUUUUACUUCCAUGUUUUGUUUUUAACUUGUUCAAUACUUAAUAGGAUUUCGGUAUCUUUGACAUUGAUAAUUCAUUUCGUAUAUGUUGUAAAUGACUGAUAUUUCUCUCCCAAGCUAACGUGUUAGCAUGCGCACAGUCCAUUGGUAAAUAAUAUGGUAUUAUUGUUGUUACUAUUCAUUUUGAUACCGCAAAGAGGAUCAGAGAAAAGAAAGAUAAAUUAAUUAUGGAUUGUGAGUGAGAAAGAAACUACAAAGAAAGAAUUCCUCUAAUGACAUUUAUGUUGGGAGAGUUUUUCAUUAGGAAGCAUUGAAUAUUGUAGAACUCUUUCUUUUCGAGCAACACCUUUGUAAGAGACACAUCACAUAUUCACCCAAAACUUUAAGAUAAUAUGUGGAUGAAUUUUCUCCCUUAUAAAUGCUCAAGUCUCCACAUUUACAACAAAUGUGAGACUAUUACCCACACUACUCACACUUGAUACAUUCUCAACAAUUUAUAGUAUGAAAGUUAAAUGUCAAUUUAUGUUGAGAUUCGGGUCAAGUGGUAGCGGUUGGAAGGUUAUGGUUAGAUGUGAGUUUCACAAUCAUAAAAUAGCUAAGUACUUUAAUGGUCAUUAUGUAUUAGCUCGUUUAAAAGAUGAUGAAAGAUCAAUUAUGAAUGACGUGACAAAAUACAAUAUGGUUCUCAGAUACAUAAUAACUACUUUGAAAGAUAGAGAUCCAAAAAACCUCACUAGUGUUAUCCAUGUGUACAAGGCAAAAUAUAUACAUUUAAAACGAGCAAGAGAGGUCCGUUAAUUGAAAUGCAACAUUGUAUUACAUGUAUAUAUUCUACCUGAUAAAUUUUAUUUAAAAUGUCAAAAACUUAUCGAAUUUUCAAAACUCGCCACUGCCUACCUGAGUUUUCAUAUAUUCCAAAAAUUUGAUAUUUAUCAAAAAUUUCAAAAUAUCCUAUACAUAAUUCUACAGGUUACUGAAUUUUUCAAAAAAUUAGGCAGGCUAAUAAAAUACGGUAUGUCAAUAUAGAAUUUCCGUAUAAAUCUUAGCCAAUUAUUUUUAAAAAAAGUUGACGUGUCAAAUUUUACCAGUGCAUUUCAAAAGCAUCAUAGAUCACCACAUUUAUUUCCAUACACCUGAAAAAACCGAUAGUGUUUAGUUUACGAAAAACUGUAGCGAUUACUCAAAAAAUCUGGUAGAGUUAAUUUUUGACAGUUGGAGAUUUUAACGACGAUACUUUUAUAGAGUAAUGUUAUGUGGUCCAUAUAGAAGUGAUAAAUCGAGAGGAGUGUACAUCAGGAAAUUUACCUCCAGUUAGAUUUAGUUUUCGUAUGAUGGAUAAAUAUCAGGCUGAGUGUUGGAGGAACCAAAAAGCUGUCAACACCGAAUCUCUCACGUGGCUCACCAGUCGACAACUUUGAAUACAAAACCAGAUUCAUUCACCACAUCCCGAGGCCAUAUUUACCAUUCACACUUUUGCUUUUUUAAAAUGCAACUACCACGCCAUUCUAGUACUAGUACAAUUCUAAUUAACCCACCUCAUUGCUCUUUUCCACAUCUCAUAUGACAGAUUAUAAUCUAAACCUGAAACCUGAAACCUGAAAAGGUGUUUUUUCCUCAUGGAAUGGAAUCUCAAUCCCUUAAAAAAGCUUACUACGUAAUCACUUCUUCGCAGAGAGAAAUCACCCUAGACCCCUUUACAGAUUUUUUCAGACAGGCUUUGGUUUUGGAUAAGACAAACUGUGUAAACGAAUUUUAUCAUCAUCAUAUCAUGUCUACAUUUCCACUGUCUUUCCAGCAUUACAAUUUGAUGUAAAGAGGAAGAUUUUAAACCUAAUCUGUAGAACUUUAUUAUAAGCCCGAUGGAUUUUUUCAAAAGUUUCUAGGAAUUCUCAAGGAUGGUGUUAAGUGUUAACUAGAGGAGCUGUCCAAGUACACAACUAUUUCAUGAUCAUUAACUCAUGGAUUAAAAAAUUGAACGAUUGAGGCUCUUUCAAGAAAAGGUUUUCUUUGCCCAAAGAACCCCACUUGGCAAUAGAUAAGGUUUCCAUCUAUCAGCUCAUGAAAUAUUUGAAGAAUGCCUUUUAGAACCCUCAAGAGUCAUCAUAAAGACUAUCAAAAUCAGUUUUCAACAGCCAUUGUAAAAGACGCGCCUAAGAAUGAUAAAUGAGUGUGCCUAAUAUCAGACAAAAAACUAAGAAAACAACAUGAAUAUAAAUAUGUAUAAACUUAAGUCUGCAAACAUUACAGUAUGCGGAAUAAAUAAUACAAUAAUUGUUCUAAUGCACAUUAAAACAACAUAGUUUUUUGUCUCUAUCGAUAAGUAAAUGGACAUCCCAGGAUUCACCCAAACUCUGUAAAAUGAAUGGCACGAGAGCUCAAACCCUCAAUGCAUU
rnacentral:lncRNA from 1 species